GUACUACUGAUGAGUCCAACAAUAGGACGAAACGGCCGUCCAGUGC
rnacentral:hammerhead_ribozyme from 1 species